rnacentral:tRNA from 1 species
UCCUGGCUGGCUCAGUCAGUAGAGCAUGUGACCCUAAAUCUCGGGGCUGUGAGUUCAAGCCCCAUGUUGGGUG